rnacentral:rRNA from 1 species
UACGAAGGGGGCUAGCGUUGUUCGGAAUUACUGGGCGUAAAGGGCGCGUAGGCGGCUUCGCUAGUCGGGCGUGAAAUGCCUGGGCUCAACCCGGGAAUUGCGUUCGAUACUUCGAGGCUAGAGUGUGGGAGAGGUUGGUGGAAUUCCCAGUGUAGAGGUGAAAUUCGUAGAUAUUGGGAAGAACACCGGUGGCGAAGGCGGCCAACUGGACCACAACUGACGCUGAGGCGCGAAAGCGUGGGGAGCAAACAGG